CCUACGGUAUGCUGCAGUGAGGAAUAUUGGUCAAUGGGCGCGAGCCUGAACCAGCCAAGUAGCGUGAAGGAUGACUGCCCUACGGGUUGUAAACUUCUUUUAUAAAGGAAUAAAGUGAGGCACGUGUGCCUUUUUGUAUGUACUUUAUGAAUAAGGCUCGGCUAACUCCGUACCAGCAGCCGCGGUAAUACGGAGGAUCCGCGCGUUAUCCGGAUUUAUUGUGUUUAAAGGGAGCGUAGAUGUGUUGUUAAGUCAGUUGUGAAAGUGUGCGGCUCAACAGUAAAAUUGCAAUUGAUACUGGCAGUUUUGAGUACAGUUGAGGGAGGCGGAAUGCGUGGUGUAGAGGUGAAAUGCUUAG
rnacentral:rRNA from 1 species